rnacentral:snoRNA from 1 species
CUGUGAAUAUACUCACUGUUCUGAUUUUGUAAUAAUCAGGACAGGCUAAAUAUUUACUAUAUGAAGACCAUGCAUGUGUCCCCAGACCCAGUUCUUUCCACUUGCUUUCCCUAGGUCUGGUUUUAUAAAUGCUGGUAAUAAAC